rnacentral:tRNA from 1 species
GGAAAGGUGGCUGAGUUGGCUUAAGGCGCACGCCUGGAAAGCGUGUUGGCGGUAAUACCGUCACGAGGGUUCGAAUCCCUCCCUUUCCGCCA